rnacentral:rRNA from 1 species
CUGGCUCAGGACGAACGCUGGCGGCGUGCUUAACACAUGCAAGUCGAGCGAGGAAAUUGCUUCGGUAAUUUCCUAGCGGCGGACGGGUGAGUAACACGUGGGCAACCUGCCUGAUAGAGGGGGAUAGCCUCCCGAAAGGGAGAUUAAUACCGCAUAAAGUCAAAUGAAGGCAU